UACAGAGGGUGCGAGCGUUGUCCGGAAUCACUGGGCGUAAAGGGUGCGUAGGCGGCCCUGUAAGUCAGUGCUGAAAUACCCCGGCUUAACCGGGGGGGUGGCAUUGAUACUGCAGGGCUUGAGUACAGAUGAGGUAGGCGGAAUUGACGGUGUAGCGGUGAAAUGCAUAGAUAUCGUCAAGAACACCUAUAGCGAAGGCAGCUUACUGGGCUGUAACUGACGCUGAGGCACGAAAGUGUGGGGAGUCAAACAGG
rnacentral:rRNA from 1 species